rnacentral:tRNA from 1 species
GGAGAGAUGUCAGAGCGGUCGAAUGUGCUCGCUUGGAAAGCGGGUAGACCCUAACCGGGUCUCGCAGGUUCAAAUCCUGUUCUCUCCGCCA